GAAUUAUUAUUAUUAUUAUUAUAUAGCUAUUACUAUUUAUUAGGAGUCUAGUGACAUUAUGCGUUCUCUAGUUACCGGAUUGGUAAUGUUGGUCGAUUUAUUAAAAUCACACGACACGAGGGUAUUAGCAGCCGCGUGCGCCGUCAUCGGAAUUUUGGCCAAGGAACCCGAAAACUUGGCAAUUCUCACCGAUUACGAUAUCGUACAGCGGUUAUCUAGUUUGGUGCACACGAGCAAUUCGGACCUCCAAGCCCAUUUAUCUCGUGCCAUCGGUUCUUGCUGUUUAUUAGAACGCAACUGUCACACGUUCGGUCGACUUGAUGUAGUACUGCCCAUUUCCAAAUACAUACAUUCCAAUUCUGAUCUGGUCAAACAGAACGUUACGUUUGCUCUGCACGGUCUGUCCGGAGAUGCGACAAAUUGUGUGGCCAUGGAAUCUUGUGGUGUCGUUCCCGUACGAUGAGUGAUGACAAUAAAAUAUAAAUAAUUAUAUUAUAUUUGGCUCGUAUCAAAGGCUUCAAAUACUUGAUUUCUUAUGGAGACUAUUGCGUCACGAGAUCCCGACGUACAGGAGGCUUCAGCUGGAUGUUUGGCAAAUAUUCGUAAAAUCGCUUUAAACGCUCGAAGAUUAAAAUGAUGACCAUUAAAAUAAUAGAUUACAGAUUACAAGACGAUUGUAUUAUAUAUGACAACAAAAGGUGAAAUCAUUAUAAUAUAUAAAACAUCAUAUUUUUAUUAACAAUAUAGUUAACUUUGUUUCUUUAUGUAUUCUGUUAACUUUUUUGUUUCAAAUAUUUAUUGCAUCUUUUGCGAUGGUUGUGUUUAACUAUAUUAUGACUUUAUGAUGUUAUUUUUAUCUUUAUUAAUAUGCAGAUACCUACCUAAUAU